rnacentral:rRNA from 1 species
CCUACGGGAGGCAGCAGUGAGGAAUAUUGGUCAAUGGGCGAGAGCCUGAACCAGCCAAGUCGCGUGAGGGAGUACUGCCCUAUGGGUUGUAAACCUCUUUUGUCGGAGAACAAAACCCGGGCCGUGUCCCGGACUGCGUGUAUCCGAAGAAAAAGCAUCGGCUAACUCCGUGCCAGCAGCCGCGGUAAUACGGGGGAUGCGAGCGUUAUCCGGCUUUAUUGGGUUUAAAGGGUGCGUAGGCGGUCCGUUAAGUCAGCGGUAAAAGUGCGGGGCUCAACCCCGUCGAGCCGUUGAAACUGGCAGACUUGAGUUGGCGAGAAGUACACGGAAUGCGCGGUGUAGCGGUGAAAUGCAUAGAUAUCGCGCAGAACUCCGAUUGCGAAGGCAGCGUACCGGCGCCAGACUGACGCUGAGGCACAAAAGCGUGGGGAUCGAACAGGAUUAGAUACCCUUGUAGUC